rnacentral:rRNA from 1 species
UACAGAGGGGGCAAGCGUUGUUCGGAAUUACUGGGCGUAAAGGGCGCGUAGGCGGCCUGUUAAGUCGAACGUGAAAUCCCCGGGCUCAACCCGGGAACUGCGUCCGAUACUGGCAGGCUUGAAUUCGGGAGAGGGAUGUGGAAUUCCAGGUGUAGCGGUGAAAUGCGUAGAUAUCUGGAGGAACACCGGUGGCGAAGGCGGCAUCCUGGACCGAGACUGACGCUGAGGCGCGAAAGCGUGGGGAGCAAACAGG